CAUUGGAUGGCUGAUUAAAGCAUUGGAAUUUUAAUCCAAAUCAUAGUAAAAAAUUACUUCUAAUGA
rnacentral:tRNA from 1 species